GAUUAACGCUGGCGGCGUGCAUAACACAUGCAAGUCGAACGAUGAAACUUUACUGACUUCUUCGGAAUGAUUUAAAGCGGAUUAGUGGCGAACGGGUGAGUAACGCGUGAGUAACCUGCCUUACACAAGGGGAUAGCCUCUGGAAACGGAGAAUAAUACCCUAUGAAACCAGACAAUCGCAUGAUAAUCUGGUCAAAAUGUUUAGUGGUGUAAGAUGGACUUGCGUCCGAUUAGCUAGUUGGUGAGAUAAAAGCUCACCAAGGCAACGAUCAGUAGCCGGCUUGAGAGAGUGUACGGCCACAUUGGGACUGAGACACGGCCCAGACUCCUACGGGAGGCAGCAGUGGGGAAUUUUGCACAAUGGGGGAAACCCUGAUGCAGCGACGCCGCGUGAUUUAGAAGGCCUUCGGGUUGUAAAAAUCUUUUGUAUAGGAAGAAAAUGACAGUACUAUACGAAUAAGGGCCGGCUAAUUACGUG
rnacentral:rRNA from 1 species